rnacentral:rRNA from 1 species
GACGAACGCUGGCGGCGUGCUUAACACAUGCAAGUCGAACGGAAAGGCCCUGCUUUUGUGGGGUGCUCGAGUGGCGAACGGGUGAGUAACACGUGAGUAACCUGCCCUUGACUUUGGGAUAACUUCAGGAAACUGGGGCUAAUACCGGAUAGGAGCUCCUGCUGCAUGGUGGGGGUUGGAAAGUUUCGGCGGUUGGGGAUGGACUCGCGGCUUAUCAGCUUGUUGGUGGGGUAGUGGCUUACCAAGGCUUUGACGGGUAGCCGGCCUGAGAGGGUGACCGGCCACAUGGGGACUGAGGGACGGACCAGACGGCUACGUGAGGCAGCAGUGGGGAGUAUUGCACAAUGGGCGGAAGCCUGAUGCAGCAACCCCGCGUGCGGGAUGACGGCCUUCGGGUUGUAAACCGCUUUCGCCUGUGACAAAGCGUGAGUGACGGUAAUGGGUAAAGAAGCACCGGCUAACUACGUG